rnacentral:rRNA from 1 species
GCUCAACCGGAGAAGUGCAUCGGAAACUGGGAGACUUGAGUGCAGAAGAGGACAGUGGAACUCCAUGUGUAGCGGUGGAAUGCGUAGAUAUAUGGAAGAACACCAGUGGCGAAGGCGGCUGUCUAGUCUGUAACUGACGCUGAGGCUCGAAAGCAUGGGUAGCGAACAGGAUUAGAUACCCUGGUAGUCCAUGCCGUAAACGAUGAGUGCUAAGUGUUGGAGGGUUUCCGCCCUUCAGUGCUGCAGCUAACGCAUUAAGCACUCCGCCUGGGGAGUACGACCGCAAGGUUGAAACUCAAAGGAAUUGACGGGGGCCCGCACAAGCGGUGGAGCAUGUGGUUUAAUUCGAAGCUACGCGAAGAACCUUACCAGGUCUUGACAUCUUCUGCCAAUCUUAGAGAUAAGACGUUCCCUUCGGGGACAGAAUGACAGGUGGUGCAUGGUUGUCGUCAGCUCGUGUCGUGAGAUGUUGGGUUAAGUCCCGCAACGAGCGCAACCCUUAUUAUCAGUUGCCAGCAUUCAGUUGGGCACUCUGGUGAGACUGCCGGUGACAAACCGGAGGAAGGUGGGGAUGACGUCAAAUCAUCAUGCCCCUUAUGACCUGGGCUUCACACGUGCUACAAUGGACGGUACAACG